CAGAUAAACAACCGCAUGUGAACCGAAAGUAACUGACUGCUGUCUCUGCUUUUCUGGAAUCACGUUAAAACAGGCAACAACCUGAAGUGGCAGAACCUGAAUAGAUCCCAGCAGCUUGCAAACAAAAACAGCACAAAAUGCCGAAAAUCUUCAAGAUCAUGGUUUUUGGUCUGAGGGGGAAGAAGAUGGUGAUCUGCAAGGUGUGCAACAAGGAGCAGAGGAUGACUGUGCUGCAGUUGAAGGAGAAGAUAGCAGAGAGACUGUCCAAGUACGCAGAUACCACACAAGAGAUAAUCACAAAGAAGAAGCUGUUUGGAGACUACACCGUGCUGUCCGAAUAUGGAAUCCAAUACAUGUCCAUCAUUCAAAUGCUUAAACGUCUAGAGGGCAUAGGGUGGCCUGGAGGUGGCACUGGAGAGACUGGAAAUGAUGGGAUGGGUGACAAGAGGGGCAAUAAUCGAAGUAUGGAAAGGCUUGCAGAUUUUUAACUUUACUCAGGAUAUAUCUGUGACCUACUGGGAUACUUAAAUUUGUCAUUUUCACAUACUGUCACAGCAGUAGUGACCUAAAUGACCCUGGAGGUAGCUCAAGAUCUACUCAGUUGUUAAUUUGCUUCGGUCUGAAUCAGUGGAUGAGUUGCUACCUUGUUGAAUUUUGCCCUUGGUUUGGUUUCACACAAGCAAAUUUGAAAUGAACCAAAAUGUAUCAACAAAAGCCGCGCGAGAGCUGUCACUAAAAGCGUGUUGUUUGUUAUGAAUAUUUGAGUUAUUUUUUUCCGCUUUAUGUAUUUAGCCUUUGUGCAGGUUGGCGUACAGCGAAUAUGUGGUUAUUUGUCGGGGUCCGUGUAUAUUCUGGCCAUUCGAUUUUCUUUUCAGGAACCAGUAUUGAAAAACAAAAAGUGAGUGGUUAUUUGAUUUUCGUUUAAAAUACAAACUGAAAGACGAGCUGUUUUUUCUUAAAAAAUAAAAUCCUUGGCAAAUAGAAACAAAAAAGGACCCAUUUUCUCAUUCUGAGAAGAAAGAUAAAGAUCAAUUAAAAUAAAUAAAUCCUGUCCUCUUGGCUCUCAUCUGAGUCCAACUGCUGCUUUCACACCUGCCCAAACUAACUGCACCAAUGGGGAAAAUGCCUUACUGCACUACGAUUCAAUCAAACUUAACAAGGCAGGAUUGAUAAUGCCCUAAGAGAACCUGUGCACACCAAAUCCUGGUCUAUAGACUGACUGGAAUACUGUUUUAACUUUUUGACUUUUCUUCCUUUAUGUUACAUAUAUAUGACUAACUGAUAUUUGAUUGUAAAUCAAGCAACAGAUCACAUGAGUAUUAAUCAACAAACUGAGGUUACCUUGUGUAAAACAUGUGGUUCCACCUACCAGUUUCUGUAAAUAAUAGUAAACACCGGAACCCUAUAGAGAUGGGGUAAUUUGUAUCGUUUUUUAUUGUGUAAAGCAUUUUUUGUUAUAUUGCAUUAAUAUCAAAAGUGUUGUACG